CAGGGAUUGAACCCGUGUCCCCUGGAGUGGAAGCAGAGUUGUAACAGCUGGACCAAUGGGGAAGUCACAGAGCACGUUACCACAUUGAACUCCUACCAAAACUGUUUUAAUGAACAACAAAGACUCAUUUUGAGAAUUUAACAUAAAGAAUUGUUAAUUAAUGAUUGAAGAACUGACAAGGCUAAAAGACAACCUGAAGUUAUCUCCAAGGCAAGAUUCUUGGUGCUGAAGAUACAAAUGAGACAAGCUAAAUAUCUUAUGAUUCAAUAGGAGAGAUCAAGACAUACACAUAUAUGAUUUAAUCUGG